AUUCCAGAGCAAGAACAGGUUCCUGUCUGGCAGCUCUAUUUGAUUGUAUAUUUGUGGCUUGGGAUGGAAACAGGGAGCAAACCAGAAGAGCUGGGAGACGACUGGAAAAUGCAAACAUACAGCUUCAUGACUGCAACUAUUUAAUGAAUGAAAGAGAUAAAGUAGCCGGAAAAUCCCAGGUCUUGGACCAGGAAAUGUGAAAUGAACCAGCAAAGAUGCUUCAGCAGGCCUGAAGAGACUGGGAACACCAGAUGAAAGAGAACAGGUACCUGUAAAGAGCAGUGAUACAGUCAGAGGAAACAAUAAAAAUGAGGUCUUGCUCUGUUGCCCAGACUGGAGUGCAGCAGCAUGAUUAUGAUUUACUGCAGCCUUGAAAUCCCAGGCUCACGGGAUCCUCCCAUCUCAGCCUCUCGGUAACUGGAACUACAGACUAGAAGCUCUGUAAGAGCAAGGAUGUUGGGUAUUUUUGCUCACGUUUCCCAGUGCUUUAACAGAAUGCCUGGCAUGAGUAAGUCCUCCAUAAACAUCUGUGGAAUAAAUCAGUAGUAGAGAUUAAGAAAUGGCCUCAAAGAAGGACACAGACAAACAUGGUCCUGGUUCUAGAGGAAGCUAAAUGUGUUCACUUUUCCUGUGAGCUUUACACAGGAGUUUCUGCAACAUAAAAGAGAUCACAAGGCCAGUACCGAUGAAGCCCUUGAUCCUGUGCUUGUUACCUGGGAAAGACUGACAGUAAUACCUUAAAAAUCAUUGUCUCUGUGACUUAGGAGAAACAGGACAAAUUAUCCUAGCAUGAAAUAUAGCCCAAGAAUAUUGUGGGAAUAACGCAGAUUGAUUUUUUUUCUCUUUUCUGAAUUCACAUCUGUAUCCCUCUUUCAGAUAUUUAUUGACUGCUCAGUUCAGUCCCUUUUCAUAUAGAGAAUGAGGGUAUAUUUCAUUUGUUCAAAACUACAAAAAUAAUCAUACCUCUUAUCUUUCAAAUAAAAAUCAACUUUGCUC
rnacentral:lncRNA from 1 species